GACGAACGCUGGCGGCGUGCUUAACACAUGCAAGUCGAGCGGUAAGGCCCUUUCGGGGGUACACGAGCGGCGAACGGGUGAGUAACACGUGGGUGACCUGCCCUCAGCUCUGGGAUAAGCCGUGGGAAACCUGGGUCUAAUACUGGAUAUGACUCCACGGUGCAGUGUCGUGGGGUGGAAAGCCUUGUGCGGCUGAGGAUGGGCCCGCGGCCUAUCAGCUUGUUGGGGGGUGAUGGCCUACCAAGGCGACGACGGGUAGCCGGCCUGAGAGGGCGACCGG
rnacentral:rRNA from 1 species